GACGAAGGGGGCUAGCGUUGUUCGGAAUUACUGGGCGUAAAGCGAGUGUAGGUGGUUGUCGUAGCCAGGCGUGAAAGCCUUGAGCUCAACUCAAGAAAUGCGCUUGAUACUGGGCAGCUAGAGGACCGGAGAGGAUAGUGGAAUUCCCAGUGUAGUGGUGAAAUACGUAGAGAUUGGGAAGAACACCAGUGGCGAAGGCGGCUAUCUGGACGGUUUCUGACACUAAGACUCGAAAGCGUGGGGAGCAAACAGG
rnacentral:rRNA from 1 species